rnacentral:rRNA from 1 species
UCCUGGCUCAGGACGAACGCUGGCGGCGUGCUUAACACAUGCAAGUCGAGCGAUGAAGCUCUUCGGAAGUGGAUUAGCGGCGGACGGGUGAGUAACACGUGGGUAACCUGCCUCAUAGAGGGGAAUAGCCUUCCGAAAGGAAGAUUAAUACCGCAUAAGAUUGUAAUAUCGCAUGAUAUAGCAAUUAAAGGAGUAAUCCGCUAUGAGAUGGACCCGCGUCGCAUUAGCUAGUUGGUGAGGUAACGGCUCACCAAGGCGACGAUGCGUAGCCGACCUGAGAGGGUGAUCGGCCACAUUGGGACUGAGACACGGCCCAGACUCCUACGGGAGGCAGCAGUGGGGAAUAUUGCACAAUGGGGGAAACCCUGAUGCAGCCAACGCCGCGUGAGUGAUGACGGUCUUCGGAUUGUAAAGCUCUGUCUUCAGGGACGAUAAUGACGGUACCUGAGGAGGAAGCCACGGCUAACUACGUGCCAGCAGCGGC